GAUGAAGAACGUAGCGAAAUGCGAUAAGUAAUGUGAAUUGCAGAAUUCAGUGAAUCAUCGAAUCUUUGAACGCAUAUUGCGCUCUCUGGUAUUCCGGAGAGCAUGCUUGUUUGAGUAUCAGUAAACACCUCAACUCCCUUUUCUUUUUUGAAAUGGGAGCUGGACUUGAGUGAUCCCAACACUUUUCUCACUGGAAAGUGGCGGGUCACUUGAAAUGCAGGUGCAGCUGGACUUUUCUCUGAGCUAUAAGCAUAUCUAUUUAGUCUGCCUAAAAAACAGAUUAUUACCUUUGCUGCAGCUAACAUAAAGGAGAUGAGUUCUUGUGCUGACUGAUGCAGGAUUCACAGAGACAGCUUUGCGGCUGACUUUGUAAACUCGAUCUCAAAUCAAGUAAGACUACCCGCUGAACUUAAGCAUAUCAAUAAGCGGAGGA
rnacentral:misc_RNA from 1 species